rnacentral:misc_RNA from 1 species
GAUGAAGAACGCAGCGAAAUGCGAUAAGUAAUGCGAAUUGCAGAAUUCAGUGAGUCAUCGAAUCUUUGAAUGCACAUUGCGCCCUGUGGUAUUCCGCAGGGCAUGCCUGUUCGAGCGUCAUUUCAACCCUCAAGCCCCGCUUGGUGUUGGGCCCCGCCCGCUGUGGCCGGCCCUAAAGACAGUGGCGGCGCCGCCUGGCCCUCAGCGUAGUACAUCUCUCGCUCCAGGGUCCGGUGGCCGCCUGCCAGAACCCCCCAACUCUGUGGUUGACCUCGGAUCAGGUAGGGAUACCCGCUGAACUUAAGCAUAUCAAUAAGCGGAGGA